rnacentral:rRNA from 1 species
GAUUAACGCUGGCGGCGUGCCUAACACAUGCAAGUCGAGCGGCAGCGCGUUUUACACUGAAUUCUGGAAGCUUCUAGUUGCAAGAGAAGAUUUAUUCAAGAAUUUUGUGUAAAAUGUCGGCGAGCGGCGGACGGCUGAGUAACGCGUGGGAACGUACCCCAAAGUGAGGGAUAACGCAUCGAAAGGUGUGCUAAUACCGCAUAUGGUCUUCGGAUUAAAGCCUUCGGGCGCUUUGGGAACGGCCUGCGUAAGAUUAGAUAGUUGGUGGGGUAAUGGCCUACCAAGUCGACGAUCUUUAACUGGUUUGAGAGGAUGAUCAGUCAGACUGGAACUGAGACACGGUCCAGACUCCUACGGGAGGCAGCAGUGAGGAAUCUUCCACAAUGGGCGAAAGCCUGAUGGAGCAACGCCGCGUGCAGGAUGAAGGCCUUCGGGUUGUAAACUGCUUUUAUAAGUGAGGAUUAUGACAGUAACUUAUGAAUAAGGAUCGGCUAACUACGUG